GAUGCAACUAAACAGAGAACUUAUAUAGGCCCAAAAUUGGUUGGGCGUCUCUACCGGCUGCCGGAACAGCCGCGCUAUAAGUUUCCCGGUUUAUCCG
rnacentral:ncRNA from 2 species